rnacentral:rRNA from 1 species
GACGAACGCUGGCGGCGUGCCUAAUACAUGCAAGUCGAACGCAUUUUCUUUCACCGUAGCUUGCUACACCGAAAGAAAAUGAGUGGCGAACGGGUGAGUAACACGUGGGUAACCUGCCCAUCAGCGGGGGAUAACACUUGGAAACAGGUGCUAAUACCGCAUAAUUCCAUUUACUGCAUGGUAGAUGGAUGAAAGGCGCUUUUGCGUCACUGAUGGAUGGACCCGCGGUGCAUUAGCUAGUUGGUGGGGUAACGGCCUACCAAGGCUGCGAUGCAUAGCCGACCUGAGAGGGUGAUCGGCCCCACUGGGACUGAGACACGGCCCAGACUCCUACGGGAGGCAGCCGUAGGGAAUCUUCGGCAAUGGACGCAAGUCUGACCGAGCAACGCCGCGUGAGUGAAGAAGGUUUUCGGAUCGUAAAACUCUGUUGUUAGAAAAGAACAAGGAUGAGAGUGGAAAGUUCAUCCCUUGACGGUAUCUAACCAGAAAGCCACGGCUAACUACGUG